rnacentral:lncRNA from 1 species
ACUUGAGCUCAUAAUCACUCGCACAACAUGAAUACUGAAAGAAGGGAAACUUUUCCUAAAACAUCUUAUAGCCUCCUAUCCAUAAGUGUGGCGCGCUAUACACCCAUGCAUAAGACUCUACACAAUGUGGCUUUUAGACUCCCUAGGACUCUGUUGAACCUUAGGAUCUGAUACCGAGUUUGUAAUAACUUGGUACUGCCCCCUAGUCGUCACACGGUGCCUACGACCCCGAAGGACCACAAGCUAACCCAUGAAUGAUAUCUGCUGUGAGCACUGAAUAAUAAUACUGUAAUUAAUGCAAAAAAUAG